rnacentral:rRNA from 1 species
UACGGAGGGGGCUAGCGUUGUUCGGAAUUACUGGGCGUAAAGCGCACGUAGGCGGCUUUGUAAGUUAGAGGUGAAAGCCCAGGGCUUAACCCUGGAAUUGCCUUUAAGACUGCAUCGCCAGAAUCGUGGAGAGGUGAGUGGAAUUCCGAGUGUAGAGGUGAAAUUCGUAGAUAUUCUGAAGAACACCAGUGGCGAAGGCGACUCACUGGACACGUAUUGACGCUGAGGUGCGAAAGCGUGGGGAGCAAACAGG